AUUAUUUUUUUUAUUUUAUUUUUAUUUUAUUUUUACUUUUGGUGCAGAAGAAAUAUUGAAAUUUAGUACCUGUAGGUCAACCGCAAGGCAUAAUUUUGACUCAUUUUAUUUGUUUCUAUUUUUUGGGAAUUAAUAAAGUAGUUAACUGUCCGUUAAAAAUCUCAAAAAAUAAGUGGAGAAAAAAUGCAAAUAUAUUUAUUAGAAGUUAAAAGUACCAAUCUCGAACUCUGAACUAAAUACCAUACGAACUACUUCGAAAUUGAAUUCGAAAAAUUUGAAAAAAAAAAUUGUCUAAAAGCCUUUGUGAUGCAAUUUGUUAUAAAUCAAUAAUAUGAAAGUACAUGAGUUUUAAAUGCAAGAUUAAGAUUCGUUAUAUUAAAAUUCACCACGCUAGAUUUAUAAGCGCUUGAAUUAAAUACGGCUAAUCUACAUUUAAGAAUUGGUCUGAGAACGCUUGCAAAUGUCACCGCCAAAAUGGACACAUCACAACACCAAAAAUGUCAUCAAAAUCACAAAAAUAAUGCUAAUUUAUUUACACAGUGGCCACGUCAAAAGCAAAUAACAUACAUAUAUUUCUUUCAUUAUAUUUCGAAAAGUUGUUGCUUUCUUCAAAAAAAUUAUAAUUUUCUGUUCACAUAUUUGGUUUUGCGAAUUUUAAUUUGCUGCAGUCAUCGCCCAAGCAUUGAAAUCAUAAUCACAACCAUUGAUAAUAAGCUAGUAUAUGGUUUUUAAACGAAUAAAAAAAUGUUGCUUGCACGCCUAAAUGUAUGCAUUGUAAUAUUUAUUGUAAAUUGCA